UACGUAGGGGGCAAGCGUUGUUCGGAAUCGAUUGGCGUAAAGAGCGUGUAGGCGGCCAGAUAAGUCCGCUGUGAAAUCUCGAGGCUCAACUUCGAGCUGUCGGUGGAAACUGUCUGGCUAGAGUCCGGAAGAGGAGAAUGGAAUUCCUGGUGUAGCGGUGAAAUGCGCAGAUAUCAGGAAGAACACCCGUGGCGAAGGCGGUUCUCUGGGACGGUACUGACGCUGAGACGCGAAAGCGUGGGGAGCGAACAGG
rnacentral:rRNA from 1 species